rnacentral:tRNA from 1 species
CCUGUCACCUUAGGUCGAUCGGUACCUCAGUUUAAUAUUCCAAAACCAAGAAAUUAGUUUUAGAAAUCUUGAAUUCAGUUCCUAAACUUUGUCUAGGUCACACCCCGCAAGGGUACUCCUGGGCCAUUAGCUCAGGUGGUUAGAGCGCACCCCUGAUAAGGGUGAGGUCCCUGGUUCAAGUCCAGGAUGGCCCAUUCGGUGUUGGGGGUAUAGCUCAGUUGGUAGAGCGCCUGCUUUGCAAGCAGGAUGUCAGCGGUUCGAGUCCGCUUACCUCCACUGAUCUACCUCCUGAUAACGCAGCUCAUGGAGUGUUACUUGUUUAAGUGAUCUAGUAUUUGUUUUCAAUGAACGAACCUAGCUUCUUGUCAUUCAUACAAAAGAAACUUUGUAUCAUUGAUAGGAUGCUGGGCUCUUUGCAAUGAAAAUUGCAUAGAUGUUCUGCAGAACCUUGACAACUGCAUAGGUAAGUCUAGAAAGAAUAAAGCAUCUAAACGGAUGCAUUAUUUUUUUAAGUCAAUAGUUAUAGCUCUGAAUUUAAUUCAGUGUUUUUGUUUUGACUUGAAAAUAGUAAUGUUUAAUUCUUGAGCAAGAGCCGAGACUCUUUAACGUUCUUUCAUUUCUAUAUAAGAAUGAGAGUUUGAUUUUUAAUUUUAUGAACUCGCUUCGACUCUUUAGAUAAACUCUAAAGAAUUACUGCUUGUUUUACUUAGAAAUUAAAGAGAAAGUGCUAACAACACAUAACGUUUUAGAGAUUAUAUGGUCAAGCUACAA